rnacentral:rRNA from 1 species
UACGUAGGGUGCGAGCGUUAAUCGGAAUUACUGGGCGUAAAGCGUGCGUAGGCGGUUUCGCAAGUCCGCUGUGAAAGCCCCGGGCUUAACCUGGGAAUGGCAGUGGAAACUAUGAGACUUGAAUCUGGCAGAGGGGGGUGGAAUGCCACGUGUAGCAGUGAAAUGCGUAGAGAUGUGGCGGAACACCGAUGGCGAAGGCAGCCCCCUGGGCCAAGAUUGACGCUCAGGCACGAAAGCGUGGGGAGCAAACAGG